rnacentral:rRNA from 1 species
GACGAACGCUGGCGGUGUGCUUAACACAUGCAAGUCGAACGGUAAGGCCCUUUCGGGGGUACACGAGUGGCGAACGGGUGCGUAACACGUGAGUAACCUGCCCUCAUCUCUGGGAUAACAGUCGGAAACGGUUGCUAAUACUGGAUAUGAGCUUGCAAGGCAUCUUGUGGGUUGGAAAGAUUUUUUUGGUUGGGGAUGGACUCGCGGCCUAUCAGCUUGUUGGUGAGGUAGUGGCUCACCAAGGCUUCGACGGGUAGCCGGCCUGAGAGGGCGACCGGCCACAUUGGGACUGAGAGACGGCCCAAACUCCUACGGGAGGCAGCAGUGGGGAAUAUUGAACAAUGGACGGAAGUCUGAUGCAGCAACGCCGCGUGCGGGAUGACGGCCUUCGGGUUGUAAACCGCUUUCAAUUGUGACGAAGCUUUUUGUGACGGUAGCAGUAGAAGAAGCACCGGCUAACUACGUG